GACGAACGCUGGCGGCGUGCCUAAUACAUGCAAGUAGAACGCUGAAGGAGGAGCUUGCUCUUCUGGAUGAGUUGCGAACGGGUGAGUAACGCGUAGGUAACCUGCCUGGUAGCGGGGGAUAACUAUUGGAAACGAUAGCUAAUACCGCAUAAGAGUAGAUGUUGCAUGACAUUUACUUAAAAGGUGCAAUUGCAUCACUACCAGAUGGACCUGCGUUGUAUUAGCUAGUUGGUGGGGUAACGGCUUACCAAGGCGACGAUACAUAGCCGACCUGAGAGGGUGAUCGGCCACACUGGGACUGAGACACGGCCCAGACUCCUACGGGAGGCAGCAGUAGGGAAUCUUCGGCAAUGGACGGAAGUCUGACCGAGCAACGCCGCGUGAGUGAAGAAGGUUUUCGGAUCGUAAAGCUCUGUUGUAAGAGAAGAACGAGCGUGAGAGUGGAAAGUUCACACUGUGACGGUAUCUUACCAGAAAGGGACGGCUAACUACGUG
rnacentral:rRNA from 1 species